GGCACCCAGAUACACUCCCCUAGGAGGCAAGACUGCCACCCACCGUCCCAGCACCUAUCUCAAAGCUCCAAAGCCAGGCCAUUUCCACCCCUCCCGCCACCCCUCCACUCCUGCCUAAUUAAUUAUUUAUGGAACAGUUUGGACAAGAAGAAGGCACAGAGACUGGACUCAGAGCAGCUCCCUACCCUCCUUGACAGUCCUGUCUCAUACAUCUCUGAGGGUGUUGAGGAAUGCAGCCAGUAGCAAAAGAGGCAGUGACUGAGAUCUCUCCCUCAUGAAAGCAAACAAGAACAACAAAAAUCUAAAAACUAACAUUUCCCCUCCUGAAAACUGGUAAAAAGUAGAAAGAAUAAUCAGUUUCUGGACACAAAAUAAGAAUGUUUUAGUUGAAAGCAGAAACUUCCUGCAAAAUAUUUAAAUUUAAAAAAAUCUAUUUUAAAAAGUCAUGGACUAUUUUCACCAGUCUUACAUAGAAAUGAUUCACUAAAAUGUCAGACCCUCUACCUAACCUAAGUAUCACACUUGGCUGGGAGCUGGAGAUGUGUGGAUACUUCUCUAAGGAAGCACUUCAGCUUCUUAUUUGAAACAUCCCCACAUGAUAUGCUGAACUGAACCAGAGGGGCUAUAAAGUGAGAGCAGCCCACAGGACAACCAGUCAUGGACCCAUGGACCAGUCAGUGAGUAAGCUGCUGAACAAAGAGCUGAUCCCUAAUCCAAAGUCUUUACAGUUUAAGAUAAAAGGCAACAGACUGAUGCAGAUGUGCAUAAAAAGCAAAACGGGGACAUCAUUCAGCCUGGUGAUGAACAGUGGCUUCAGCACAAAAACAGAAUGACAUUUUCAGACCAGAGGACUACCAGCUCUCCUCUAUUUCUUAUACAGUAACUGCCAUUUACUGAGGAAAUUCUCUCCAAAUGCCUGACUAAGACUUUGGAACAAGCAAAAGAGGAGGCUGCUUCUCAACUGGAGGAAAUGGCCCAUGUGCCCUCUAGUGGAGAAAACACAUUUUGCAGCUUUAAAAGCCAAAUGGAAUGCUGGAAGUGGCCAUAUUUGUAGGCCAAAGGAGGAGGAAACUUAGUUCUUUGACAGCUUGAUUUUCCAGCAAUGCAUUCAAGGUGAGUGUGUCUGUGCACAAAUAUGUGUUUGUCAAGUGAAAACUGGGAUUUCAGAACUUCAAAAGCAAGGGAAGUCUCCAGUGCCCUUCUCCUGCAGCUUCAGACAGACAUGGUGGCCUCCAGCAGAAGUUUGGUAAAGGUUUGGGCAUGUCGGUUUGGCUGGAAAAGGAAUCCCUAGGCAUCCCUUCUGUUGGAAUAUUCAAUUAACUGUGCAAACUUGGGACAUAUGGACAUCCUCAACACCUACUGACUAAGCACCUUGCAGGAUUGGGCCCAAAGAUUCCAAUGGUUUUAGAAAUGAUGCGUUCCAAUCAUUUCCCCCACAGGCAACCAUGUUGUGUUAGACCACUAAAGGUUCUUUGAAUGAACUUGAGAUGCUUUGAGGCAUUUAAAGGUGUGGCAUUCAAAAUAGCAAAAGGCAGGAAACAAAGAUGCUUGGUUUGAUGCUUCAAGUCAGCUCUAUUUCACAACUUUGGUGUAGUCAGAGUGGGAGACUGUAUGAGCUCCUGCAAGAUAUAGAUGCUAGCUGACAAGAUGACCUCAGAGCAGUGAAAUAAUUUCGCCUACCAAACUACCAGUUAGAUAUGAACAGUACUGAUUAUUUACAAGUCUAACUGCUUGAAAAGUGGAUAUACUGCUGAAAAAUAUCAUUUCUGCUUUUCUCGGAUGUCUCAGACCAUCUCUGCUCAUUAAUUUGUUAUGCAGGCCAUUUCAGUUAAGCACCAACAAAAACUUUCUACAAGCUUACUGUUUCCUGUGUAAGACCCACCAUAUGGAAACAAAAAACCCUCUUUACAAAGUUUCCAAGGCAAGGUUAUCUAGACUGGUAUUUAACCCCUGCCUGCAAAGCUGGGUGUUGUAGUUACUAUAGGCCCAACUGUAUAAAUGGAGAGAAAAAUAAUUGUAUAAACCCAGGGUAGAUAGAUUUUCUGCCUGAUGCAGGUGAGGUGGUAGCAUGUGUAUGAUAAAUAUAUUUUAUCACAUGGGGGGGUGUGGGGGGGUACUUCACAUGUUAUAAGUAAGUAUAAGGUAUAAAAGAGAUCACUAGAGGUUUGGACAUAAUAUGAUGUAAAGUUUCUCUCCCUUACCCAGUAAGGACAUUUGUCCAAACCUACCUUUUCUGCCAACUGAGUUAUAAUGGGGAGCUAGUUGCUUCCAGUAUCAAGGCAUGGCUGCAUUUCACUGGUGGGUUAUGUAAACUCACGUCCAUCUACAGAGAUGACUAAGUUGUGUUUGCCUUUAUCAAGAACCUUGUCUCACUGACUUCAGUAAGAAGGUGAGCAAAAUCUGUCUCAUCCUCUCACUCAUGGCAAACUACUAUGAUACCCAUGAAAGGUGCCAACACUAUGCACAUCCAUUCCAAGUAGGUUCAUAAUCUGAAUUAUAUAAAGCCAUUUCCUCUCUUAUAUCACAUACCUAAGGGUGAUGUUUUGUCUCAUCUCUCCUAGACUGCAAGCUCCUGUGUAAAAUAGCAGCAAUCAUUUAAGCGACCCAAUAUUAUUUGCAUAGCCUAAGGGAGUGGGUGGGUUAUGGUGCCUCAGAUCAUGAUGGACACAUUCACCUCUUCCUCCUCUCUCUAUUCCACUUCAUUUUUUCCUUUUAUUCCUUUCUUUCUCAGUUUGCCACCUAUAACUUCUCCCUGUGCCUUUCCUCUAUCACUUCCCUCCUCCCUCCCUGUAGCUUUCUUCAUCAGCUUUACUACACUGUUUAAGCCAGAAACUCAUUAAUAUAUUACACAGGAUUUAUCAUCAAUCCAAACACUCUCAUUAGUCAAGUAACUAAGGACUCAGGAGAACAAAGAUGUUCACUUUCACCCUGGCUCCAAAAAAAGCAUUUUUAAUGUGGUUAACAGAAAGAUACACCACUAACCUCCUGAGAUAUCACUCAUUCUAGAUAUCAACACUGAACUUUAGAGCAGAUAGGAAAAAGGGUAUAGAGGAAUUUUUAUGACAUUUUGUUCAUUAUUGUUUUGUUUUGUCAUCAGUGUUUGUUCGUUGCUAUAUUUGAUCAAAAUGGAAAAGA